UCCUACGGGAGGCAGCAGUGGGGAAUAUUGGACAAUGGGGGCAACCCUGAUCCAGCAAUGCCGCGUGUGUGAAGAAGGCCUGAGGGUUGUAAAGCACUUUCAGUGGGGAGGAGGAUUGAUWGGUUAAGAGCUGAUUAAUUGGACGUUACCCACAGAAGAAGCACCGGCUAACUCCGUGCCAGCAGCCGCGGUAAUACGGAGGGUGCGAGCGUUAAUCGGAAUUACUGCGUAAAGGGGCGCG
rnacentral:rRNA from 1 species